GUAGCAGUCGGUCGCAGGCGUGCGCUCCCGUCUGCCUUUCUGUUUCACUGAGAACCGCUUGGCCGCAGAGUGGGCUGUGUUCUGAUAGCUGAUGUGUUCUUCGAUUUUGAAAUUUGUGUUUCUCCAAUUCAUAAAUUAAGUGUUAUGUCAUGACUUUUCCGAGAUGAAGUAGUGUACAUUAUAGCACAUCUUAGGUUAGAUAACAGUAAUAAAUAUAGUAUUAAAAAACAAAACAAAAAACAGUGAAGUAUAUAAAUCUGAUAUGGCAUGAUUACCACCAACACCCGUGCAUAAAGACAAGAGCUUGUAAAACUUGCAUAACUUUUACCCGGCCACCCCUCCGAGAUCUUGGAUUUAACCUUCACGCCAAUUUCACCGAUACUAAAAAUCGCCCAAAAAUACCACACCACAAGCGAAACGCAGCUGAUGACCAAGAACAAGGGCAGAGCGAUGUACCCGCACCAUGCAGCUUGUUCUUCGCGACUGUAGGAGAGUACCCUAAGUGAUCACUGAUUGCCGUGCAUGGCACAGCCGACGGCCGCCCCGCUUAUGUACGACUGGUCUUUCAAGAGCCAUGAAGAGUGUCAGAACUACUAUGCCAACGUUACCAUGGACGGCGGGGUUUGGUGCAACGCCACGUGGGACCACAUCCUGUGCUGGCCGCCGUCGCCGCCUGACACGCAGGUGGAGCUGCCGUGCCCUCCGCUCAAAGGGGUAGAUCCGACACGUGA